GAGUUUGAUCGUGGCUCAGAGUGAACGCUGGCGGCAGGCCUAACACAUGCAAGUCGAACGGCAGCGCAGCAGUAGCAAUACUGUGGGCGGCGAGUGGCGGACGGGUGAGGAAUACAUCGGAAUCUACCUUGUCGUGGGGGAUAACGUAGGGAACUUACGCUAAUACCGCAUACGACCUACGGGUGAAAGCGGCGGACCGCAAGGCGUCGCGCGAUUGGAUGAGCCGAUGUCCGAUUAGCUAGUUGGCGGGGUAAGAGCCCACCAAGGCGACGAUCGGUAGCUGGUCUGAGAGGAUGAUC
rnacentral:rRNA from 1 species